rnacentral:rRNA from 1 species
GUCUACGGCCAUACCACCCUGAAUAAGCCCGAUCUCGUCUGAUCUCGGAAGCUAAGCAGGGUCGGGCCUGGUUAGUACUUGGAUGGGAGAAUAGGAAAAAUAACAUAGAGA